AUUGAACGCUGGCGGCAGGCCUAACACAUGCAAGUCGAACGAGUGGCGGACGGGUGAGUAAUGUCUGGGAAACUGCCCGAUGGAGGGGGAUAACUACUGGAAACGGUAGCUAAUACCGCAUCCCAUCGGAUGUGCCCCGAUGGGAUUAGCUUGUAGGUGCGGUAACGUCUCACCUAGGCGACGAUCCCUAGCUGGUCUGAGAGGAUGACCAGCCACACUGGAACUGAGACACGGGCCAGACUCCUACGGGAGGCGGAAGUGUGGAAUAGUGCACAAGGGGCGCAAGCCUGAUGCAGCCAUGCCGCGUGGAUGAAGAAGGCCUUCGGGUUGUAAAGUACUUUCAGCGGGGAGGCGUUACCAGCAGAAGAAGCACCGGCUAACUCCGUGCCAGCAGACGCGGUAAUAC
rnacentral:rRNA from 1 species